rnacentral:lncRNA from 1 species
GAUAGUGCAGAUCUAGAGGCCUUUGAAGUCUGUGGCCUUAAAUGCCUUGUCUAUAUCCAGACCUAUCGCAGUCUAGUCACAUCUACUAGAUGAUGAUUUUGAUAACCCAUUCAUGGCUAGAGUUGAAAAAGUAAUUUGUCUCCUGCCUCCUCUUCUUGUCUAGAUAAAAAUAAAAAAAUAAAAAAAUAAUUUGGAACGAAGAGUUCGAUCGGAUGAUAAAAAUCUAAUCCACCCAUUUUGGGAAAGCAGAUCAAAAUUAAGCCUUCAUCGCAGGAUGGCGUGAGAAAGAAUUUAUACCCUGUUUACCUCACCUUCCAGAAAAGAACCUUGCCUCGGGAUGUAUUUGAUAGAGUAAAACUUACAAAAUGGCAAAACUACAAAUAAAUUCGAACAUGACAUCUCAAAACAAUUAGUAAUGUAUGUAUAAUAGUACAUCAUGUUACUACACUCGUGUUAAAAAGCCACAUAACUACAUAUACAUAAAGCAGUGAGGAUGCCAAAACUAUAACAAACUAUAACAAAGUCAUCAAGUAUAUGAUCUUAUUGACCGCUAUCAGAAGACCCGCAUUUAUCUUUCUAAAAAUCACAUCGUUCUCGGCAUUUCAAAUGAUCCACCAGCAGGCUAUGAGUUUGGUCAAUAUAGAACGAGUUGGCUGUGAUCUAUUCCUUGACAACCACUUAUCUCGGAUGACAAUCACAUCAUCUUCCAAAUUCAUAGACUGGAUCCCCUCGAAGGCCAUCAAGGAUAGAAAUUUACUGAAAACGUAUUGCGUGAAUAAGUGAUCCACUGUUUUCUCUUCCAUCCCGUACAGCAUACGAUCUAUGUUCUCCGUCAAUAAUCCUCUCUUGAGUGGAUUGUCCGCCGUAAGAGGCCUCUUCUUAAGGACAAGCCAGCUAAAGACGAGCUGUUCUAAUGAUAAAAUUGGAAAAUUGCCAGAUUUGCUUCUUAGAAGAGUAGGAACAUAUCAAGUGGUAUUUAAAAUCUUUGGGAGGCCCCAUCUUGCUCAAAAAGCUCAGGGCAUCGGUGUCUGGAAAUUUGACCACAUAUUGAAGGGUGAAUGAGAUGGCAAGGGAAUAAAUAAACUGUUUCCUAAAAUGACAAAAUGCUAU